GGAAAAAUAUCAGACAACAAAUCUCUAUUCAUUCCGGUUAGGGAAGUAGUAGCCUCUCCCUCUUCUAUCUUUCAUCUCCGAUUUGCUUAAGUUAAUGUUGAGCUCUCCAAGCGAACCCGUUAACAAACUUAGCCAGAUCUUGAUGCUCUCCACCAAUUGAAGAAGGAAUGAUAGAGAACUACCACAGCUAAGUCAUGUUGCUCAAUCUAUCACUUUCUUUAAUCUUUCCCUAAAAUCUUUGGGUUGAGGCUUCAAUUAAAGACAAUGCCACCACUCAAUCUGAGAAAUCAAUUAAGGAAAGUGAUGAAUAUUCAGUCUUGGAAAUGUAGAUCUAUGGAAAAGGGUUAUAUCUCUUUGAUAUAAGAGCUUCCAAUGCAGAUUCGAUUGUAACAUUAUUUGAAUACUCAACUAUUCAACACCCUAAGCUCUCACUUGGUGCAGAUCAUAGUAUUCGAGGAAUUUGCUUCCAAUAAAGGUUUCUUCUAUCCAUUGAACAAAGGGUAUUGGAGAGUUCGGAUAGAGGAAACCCCAAAAAAGCAUGGGAUUUUACUAUUCGAAGAAGUAUUCCGGUGCCAAGAAAUUUGAUAAGAGUCAUUAGAGCUCGAAUUUCUAGACUAAGAAUCCAAGUUUAUUUCGGCGGUGGUUGCAAAAUUCCAACGAAGCUCGAAGUCUCAUUUUGCUACUCCUAAAAAGGUAAACUACUCACCUAAUCUUCAAUUCCUAGACUUUGCACUUUGUAACAGUGAUAUUUUUGUCUCGUGUUAAAUUUAGACUUGCCUAAUUUUAUAUGAAUUCUCUUUAAUGUUUUAUAAUUGCUUAACCUUUUUCUGACCCCAUGUGUUGAGCAAUCUAAUGAAAUUCGAUGGUUGUUUUGGAGUUUAUUGUGAAAAUCUGUUUAAGGUAGAGAUUUGGGGCUGAAUUUAAAAUUGUUGUCAUAUUGAAACUAACUGGAGAUAAAAUCUGCUGAAGUUUUCCAAUUUGUGGUUGAUAUUUUGACGUUUGGUAUGUUUUGGUGUACAAAUAGUAGUAAAAGUUAGAUGAUAGAAGUAUCGUUAUGACUUUCUUGGAGUUUUAUGUGUUUUUGACAAUUCAAAGUGUUCAUUGAUUAGUUGAUGUCGUGAUUUGAGUACAUUUCAAGCCAAGCAUUCCCUCAUGACUUACUUGAAAUGGUCAAGGAAGGGAUAAGGCUGUAUCUCUUUGUCUCAAGUUUGGGUUAAGAGACGACGAAGAACUUCAUAAUUUUCUGUCUUCAUAUCUAACUAUCCGUUAUCAAAUGCCUUCUCACAUUAUGUUGGUAAAUCUGGUUGUUACUUUGUUCCUUCAUCAAUUAUGUUAGUCUUCACAUCUUCCCAAAUUGUGUCAACAUGAUAGUUAUAAAUUUGGACAGAACGUUAGUCUUACUCGUAUAAAGUAACACUUGUUUUAUAUACACACAUCCUUUGUACUAAUAACAUGAAUAUUUCCCAGACCAUCUUCAUGUUUUACUUUUCAAAGUGUCUUAUUAUUGACUUAGUCGAGAACCAGUUAUUCACCUAUAUUAUCCUAUUUGCAUGUUCGAAUAUGUUGUUGGAAUAUGAUUGUAGAUGAGUCAAGUUAUUUAAUCGACCAGAUCUUAUGGUGUAGCCUUAAUCGGGUAGUGAAAAUUCCUUCUCAUCUUGUUUUUUUUUUGACAUGUUUUUAUUCCCAAAUUGAAAUAUGGUUCACUUCAACUAAAUCAGAAAAUUAUAGGAUAACUUUUUUUCUCUUGGGUUUUUGAUGUCAUACUGUUUCGGAUUACAUUAUUUUGCUUUGUUGAAAUUCAACAUGACAUAGUGUCUAGUCCAAUCACUGCAUGAUUCUUUAACUCUUUUCUCGUACUUCCUUAUCAUCUCAAAUAAUAGAUAAGCCAAGGCCACAUGUUCUUUUUGUUAGAUUUUCAUUUGUCAUGACAUCAGUGCCAUUCCUUUGAAUUGAAUAGUAUUUUAUGUGGCUUGUUUAAUUAUGUCGUGAUAGGUUUCUCUCUUUAAAAGUCACCAUGAACAAUGGCUUCUAAUUUUCACAAUUUGCACUCCCCUAAAAUAAGCAUGAAUAAGUCAUUUAGUAGUAUGUUAAAAGUGAAGUUUUCCUUGAUAUAAAUUUGUCCACGGGCAUACACUAAUCCUAGUUUCGUUUCCUGAUACAUGUGAUACCUGUACGAGUCCAAAUGGACUCCUGCCUUUCUCUGCACAUUCUAGUGGGUCAAAGAGGCCCAAAAACAACACCGAAUCUUGUUUCAAGGCCUCAAAUGGAUAGAAAAACUAGUCAAAGAAGUUUGUAGCUUGGUUGAAGACUAGUCAAAAACUAGUCUUAAGGAUUGAAGCCGUACAGGUGUGGAUCGAUCAAUCCCCUAAGAAGAUUCAAGAACAGAUGAACGCUCCAAGGAUUAUGUAGAAAUAUCGAAGUGCAUAAGUCAAGAAAAUCCUCAAGAAGCAUAUAGGAUAUUCGUUCUCUAAUAGAUAUGAAAGUCGUAAUUGUAUGUAAAGUUACUUGAUCACAAACAUAUUUCGCAUGUGACACGAGGUGGACAAAGAAAAGAAAGUGAAGACCGACGAAAGAUUAUCUAGAUGCUAGUGUUUUCUAUUUUAUCCCUUGCACGGGACUGUUUUUCUCUCAUGUUAUUUUCCUUUUUUCUAAAAAUUGUAUCCCUCAUUUACUACUUUGUAGGCAUUUAUGAGUGUUUUUAUUUUUUAUCCCUCCGUGGGAUUGUUUUCUCGCAUUUUAUUUUCCUAUUUUUCAACAAUUGUAUCUCUCACUUGCUACUUUGUAGGUAUCUAUGUCCUUUUGGAUAUUUAUGAAAAUAAUUUUCGGGGAUAA